UCUGCAUUGUUUUAUUUACUCACCUCAAAACUCCAAACCCUAAUCUACAUACUACAACCGGCGAUUUCUUCUUCCUUGUGCUCAUGUGGACGUGAAACAAGACAAACAGGGGAGCUUCAAGAUCUCCUUCCAAGAUAAUCAAUCCCGUCCAUCACUAGGACGUGAUUGACCAACCCUGACCGUUAGCUAUUUUAAGAGUCAAACCGAGCAAACCAAGGACCAUAGGUACUCAUUGGAGCUUGCACGGGAGGCGCGGUCGUUGUGGGCACGGAUUGUGAACGCUUUGAUGAAAACUUUAUGACUAUUUAAACUUGAUACUUAUGUUGGAUUUUCUUACUAUGCUUCCGCUACUUAAACUAUGUUUUUUUUAACACCAAUUGUAUUGUGUUGGAUUUCAUAAACUACCUUUAAUUCUAUAUGUUAUGUUCAAUA